rnacentral:rRNA from 1 species
GAGUUUGAUCUUGGCUCAGGACGAACGCUGGCGGCGUGCUUAACACAUGCAAGUCGAACGAGAAUCUGUGGAAAGAGGAUUCGUCCAAUUGAAGCAGAGGACAGUGGCGGACGGGUGAGUAACGCGUGAGGAACCUGCCUUUCAGAGGGGGACAACAGUUGGAAACGACUGCUAAUACCGCAUGACACAUCGGAGUCGCAUGGCUCUGAUGUCAAAGAUUUAUCGCUGAAAGAUGGCCUCGCGUCUGAUUAGCUAGUUGGUGAGGUAACGGCCCACCAAGGCGACGAUCAGUAGCCGGACUGAGAGGUUGAACGGCCACAUUGGGACUGAGAUACGGCCCAGACUCCUACGGGAGGCAGCAGU